rnacentral:rRNA from 1 species
CACGUAGGGGGCAAGCGUUGUCCGGAUUUAUUGGGCGUAGAGAGCUCGUAGGUGGUUCGGUAAGUCGGGUGUGAAACCUCCAGGCUCAACCUGGAGACGCCACCUGAUACUGCUGUGACUGGAGUCCGGUAGGGGAGCGUGGAAUUCCUGGUGUAGCGGUGAAAUGCGCAGAUAUCAGGAGGAACACCAGCGGCGAAGGCGGCGCUCUGGGCCGGUACUGACACUGAGGAGCGAAAGCGUGGGUAGCAAACAGG